AGAGUUUGAUCAUGGCUCAGAGCGAACGCUGGCGGCAGGCUUAACACAUGCAAGUCGAGCGGGUGUAGCAAUACAUCAGCGGCAGACGGGUGAGUAACGCGUGGGAACAUACCUUUUGGUUCGGAACAACCCAGGGAAACUUGGGCUAAUACCGGAUAAGCCCUUACGGGGAAAGAUUUAUCGCCGAAAGAUUGGCCCGCGUCUGAUUAGCUAGUUGGUGAGGUAAUGGCUCACUAAGGCGACGAUCAGUAGCUGGUCUGAGAGGAUGAUCAGCCACAUUGGGACUGAGACACGGCCCAAACUCCUACGGGAGGCAGCAGUGGGGAAUAUUGGACAAUGGGGGCAACCCUGAUCCAGCCAUGCCGCGUGAGUGAUGAAGGCCCUAGGGUUGUAAAGCUCUUUUGUGCGGGAAGAUAAUGACGGUACCGCAAGAAUAAGCCCCGGCUAACUUCGUGCCAGCAGCCGCGGUAAUACGAAGGGGGCUAGCGUUGCUCGGAAUCACUGGGCGUAAAGGGUGCGUAGGCGGGUCUUUAAGUCAGGGGUGAAAUCCUGGAGCUCAACUCCAGAACUGCCUUUGAUACUGAGGAUCUUGAGUCCGGGAGAGGUGAGUGGAACUGCGAGUGUAGAGGUGAAAUUCGUAGAUAUUCGCAAGAACACCAGUGGCGAAGGCGGCUCACUGGCCCGGUACUGACGCUGAGGCACGAAAGCGUGGGGAGCAAACAGGAUUAGAUACCCUAGUAGUCC
rnacentral:rRNA from 1 species